GUGCCAGCAGCCGCUGGUAAUACAGAAGGGUGCAAGCGUUAAUCGGAAAUUACUGGGCGUAAAAGCGCGCGUAGGUGGUUAGUUAAGUUGGAUGUGAAAUCCCCGGGCUCAACCUGGGAACUGCAUUCAAAACUGACUGACUAGAGUAUGGUAGAGGGUGGUGGAAUUUCCUGUGUAGCGGUGAAAUGCGUAGAUAUAGGAAGGAACACCAGUGGCGAAGGCGACCACCUGGACUGAUACUGACACUGAGGUGCGAAAGCGUGGGGGAGCAAACAGGAUUAGAUACCCUGGUAGUCC
rnacentral:rRNA from 1 species